rnacentral:siRNA from 1 species
AUAAAGGUAGUUUUUGGAAAUUGC